UAAGGAAUAUCGGUCAAUGGACGCAAGUCUGAACCAGCCAUGCCGCGUGAAGGAUGAAGGUCCUCUGGAUUGUAAACUUCUUUUAUCUGGGACGAAAACGGGAUUUUUAUCUCAAUUGACGGUACCAGAGGAAUAAGCACCGGCUAACUCCGUGCCAGCAGCCGCGGUAAUACGGAGGGUGCGAGCGUUAUCCGGAUUUACUGGGUUUAAAGGGUGCGUAGGUGGGCUUAUAAGUCAGUGGUGAAAUCUCCGAGCUUAACUUGGAAACUGCCAUUGAUACUAUAGGUCUUGAAUUAUCUGGAGGUAAGCGGAAUAUGUCAUGUAGCGGCGAAAUGCUUAGAUAUGACAUAGAACACCAAUUGCGAAGGCAGCUUACUACAUAUAAAUUGACGCUGAGGCACGAAAGCGUGGGGAUCAAACA
rnacentral:rRNA from 1 species